UACAGAGGUCCCAAGCGUUGUUCGGAUUUACUGGGCGUAAAGGGCGCGUAGGCGGGAUGGCAAGUCAGUCGUGAAAUCUCUCGGCUCAACCGAGAAACGUCGGCUGAUACUGCCGUUCUUGAGGGAUGCAGAGGAGACUGGAAUUCCCGGUGUAGCGGUGAAAUGUGUAGAGAUCGGGAGGAACACCGGUGGCGAAGGCGGGUCUCUGGGCAUUUCCUGACGCUGAGGCGCGAAAGCGUGGGGAGCAAACGGG
rnacentral:rRNA from 1 species